GAAAGAUGCCGCCGGAUGAUGUGAGGGUGAUUUCAUCAGCGUACUUGAUACGUGGUAUUCGCGCCGGGGGUCUUUCUUUUU
rnacentral:ncRNA from 19 species